UACGUAGGGUGCGAGCGUUAAUCGGAAUUACUGGGCGUAAAGCGUGCGCAGGCGGUUUUGUAAGCCAGAUGUGAAAGCCCCGGGCUUAACCUGGGAAUGGCAUUUGGGACUGCAAGGCUCGAGUCCGGGAGAGGGGGGUGGAAUUCCCAGUGUAGCGGUGAAAUGCGUAGAUAUUGGGAGGAACACCGGUGGCGAAGGCGGCCCCCUGGACCGGUACUGACGCUGAGGCGCGAAAGCGUGGGUAGCAAACGGG
rnacentral:rRNA from 1 species